rnacentral:tRNA from 1 species
GCUUUUGUGGUGUAGCGAUCAACACGCUCGGUGCGUACUCGAAAUGUCCGUGGUUCGAGUCCCGGCAAGGGCG